UUCACAGAGCAACUCAGACGACUUGGAGUAUGUCUAUGACCUUUUCUCAGUUAUUGUACAUAAAGGUGGUUGCUAUGGAGGACAUUACCACGUGUAUGUUAAAGAUGUUGAUCAUCUGGGAAACUGGCAAUCCCAGGAGGAAAAAAGCAAACCAGAUGUGAAUUUAAAAGAUCUCCAGAAUGAAGAAGAGAUUGACGAUCCACUGAUAAUUCUGAAAGUGAUCUUACUACAGGAGGAGAAUAAUGUAAUUCCUGUUGAUCACCUGGGCCAGAAACUCUUGAAAAAGAUAGGAACGUCUUGGAACAAGAAGUACAAAAAACAGUAUGGACCACUGCGAAAGGU